CAGCCGUAAACUAUGCGCGUUAGGUGUAUCGGUGACCACGAGUUACCGAGGUGCCGAAGGGAAACCGUGAAACGUGCCGCCUGGGAAGUACGGUCGCAAGGCUGAAACUUAAAGGAAUUGGCGGGGGAGCACCACAACAGGUGGAGCCUGCGGUUUAAUUGGACUCAACGCCGGGAAGCUCACCGGAUAGGACAGCAGAAUGAUUGCCGGGCUGAAGACCCUGCAUGACUAGCUGAGAGGUGGUGCAAGGCGUAGACGUCU
rnacentral:rRNA from 1 species